rnacentral:sRNA from 1 species
AAAGUCCAAAGUGACCAGGUAGAAGAUAUGGGCCAUCAUUCAAUAUGCCUUCUAACGAAAGUACAUAUACCAGGCUGAACUCAGAUAUGAUCCACCUAGAUCUGCCUUGCAAGUGUUGACAUAAAAGGAUGCAUGAAAAUCUGCCAAGUGAAAAGCAUAUUAAAACAUAUAAAAAUAUAAAAGAUGAUGAGCAAUUAACAAAUACCAAAUAUGAACUAGCCCCCUGGGUACUGAUGUGGAUGAGCUCUGUUGAUCCCUGACCUCAGGCAAAGGUUUUCAUCACUGACACUUCCAAGCUGAAGAAUGAAUUUCCAUAGUUUUGAAAAUAUCAGCCUCAGAAGUCUUCUGAUCUCAUGGAAUUUCAGCAUUAUCGGCAUAGAGCACUUAAAGGAUGAAGAUUUAUUUCAAAAGAAUUAUUUCUAUUAUGGUACCAGUAUAAUGGGA